UACGAAGGGUGCAAGCGUUAAUCGGAAUUACUGGGCGUAAAGGGUGCGUAGGCGGUUAGUUAAGUCUGUUGUGAAAUCCCCGGGCUCAACCUGGGAAUGGCAAUGGAUACUGGCUGGCUAGAGUGUGUCAGAGGAUGGUGGAAUUCCCGGUGUUGCGGUGAAAUGCGUAGAGAUCGGGAGGAACACCUGUGGCGAAGGCGGCCCCCUGGGCCGGCCCUGACACUGAGACGCGAAGGCGUGGGGAGCGAACGGG
rnacentral:rRNA from 1 species